rnacentral:rRNA from 1 species
UACGUAGGGUGCAAGCGUUGUCCGGAAUUAUUUGGGCGUAAAGAGCUCGUAGGCGGUUUGUCGCGUCUGCGUGUCGAAAACUCGGGGCUUAACCCCGGGCCUGCGAGUGGGUACGGGCAGACUAGAGUGCGGUAGGGGAGACUGGAAUUCCAUGGUGUAGCGGUGAAAUGCGCAGAUAUCAGGAAGAACACCUAUGGCGAAGGCAGCUCUCUGGGACGGUACUGACGCUGAGACGCGAAAGCGUGGGGAGCGAACAGG